rnacentral:tRNA from 1 species
GCCUGGGUGGCUCAGUUGGUUAAGCAUCUGACUUCAGCUCAGGUCAUGAUCUUAGUGAGUUCAAAUCCCACACGGGGCU